UACAGAGGUCUCAAGCGUUGUUCGGAUUCAUUGGGCGUAAAGGGUGCGUAGGCGGCGCGGUAAGUCGGGUGUGAAAUCUUGGAGCUUAACUCCGAAACUGCAUUCGAUACUGCCGUGCUUGAGGACUGGAGAGGAGACUGGAAUUCACGGUGUAGCAGUGAAAUGCGUAGAUAUCGUGAGGAAGACCAGUGGCGAAGGCGGAUCUCUGGACAGUUCCUGACGCUGAGACGCGAAAGCGUGGGGAGCGAACAGG
rnacentral:rRNA from 1 species